UACAGUAUAAUUCACAUUUGACAAAACCAAAUAUGCCUCAACAAGGAAAGUAAAGGAGAGGUCAAAUAAAGUAGAGAUUUUUAAAGACAAAUUAGCAUUUUCUAGGCAUUGCAACUAAGUCCAACCAAAGAAUCAUCUUUUACGGUUUUGCGAAAGGAACACAGCAUAACAGUGUGUUUGACUGUCCAUGGGAAACAGAACACUGCAUUAGCGUAAGCAAUUCUCUCCCAUCACAUAUUUUCUUCUUUUUG
rnacentral:misc_RNA from 1 species